CUCAACUGAGGUAUGCCCUUGAAACUGAUAGACUUGAGUGCAGGAGAGGAGAGCGGAAUUCCUAGUGUAGCGGUGAAAUGCGUAGAUAUUAGGAAGAACACCAGUGGCGAAGGCGGCUCUCUGGACUGCAACUGACGCUGAGGUACGAAAGUGUGGGGAGCGAACAGGAUUAGAUACCCUGGUAGUCCACACUGUAAACGAUGAAUGCUAGGUGUUGGGGUCGACAGGCUUCAGUGCCGGAGUUAACACAUUAAGCAUUCCGCCUGGGGAGUACGGUCGCAAGACUGAAACUCAAAGGAAUUGACGGGGGCCCGCACAAGCAGCGGAGCAUGUGGUUUAAUUCGAAGCAACGCGAAGAACCUUACCAGGGCUUGACAUCCCUCAGACGGUCUUAGAGAUAAGACUUUCCCUUCGGGGACAGA
rnacentral:rRNA from 1 species